AUGAAUCCACUGGCAAGGUGUCUAGAGGAAUUGCUGCCAGAAAGAAUUUCAAGUACUUAUUGGUGUUUUCUUCUUCUUAGAACACUACUUGUUGCAUCUACGGUUUGUGCGGCUUUUCUGAUUCCGUUUUUUGGACUUGUGAUGGCUUUGAUCGGUUCUCUCUUCAGUAUGCUUGUGUCAGUGAUUAUGCCCAGUUUAUGCUUUUUAAAGAUUGUGGGGAAGAAGGCUACAAAUACACAGGUUACCAUGAGCGUCAUAAUUGCUGCAGCCGGAAUGAUUUGUGGACUCCUUGGAACAUAUUCCUCUUUGUUGAAUAUUGCCAAUAGUUACUAA